GAGCUAGGCUUUGCCAAGCCUGAGCCUGGCCUGUCAAAAAAUCGAAGGUCUGAGCCUGGCCUGUGGCCUAUCAUAGGCUUAAAUUCUAGGCCUGAGCCUGACAUUUUGAAAGUCUGAUGUGGCCUGUUAGCCUGUUUAAAAGCCUAUUUCAUAUGAACAUAUUUAAAUAAAUAAUUAUAUUUAUUUUGAAAUAUACUUAUGAACUAAUAAAAUAAUGUUCCAUUUGAUAUUUU
rnacentral:lncRNA from 1 species